rnacentral:rRNA from 1 species
GAUGAACGCUAGCGAUAGGCUUAACACAUGCAAGUCGAGGGGCAGCAUGGUCUUAGCUUGCUAAGACUGAUGGCGACCGGCGCACGGGUGCGUAACGCGUAUGCAACUUGCCUCACAGAGGGGGAUAACCCGUCGAAAGACGGACUAAUACCGCGUACACUUGGGAUAGGGCAUCCUGACCCAAGGAAAUGAAAUUCGCUGUGAGAUAGGCAUGCGUCCCAUUAGCUAGUUGGUGAGGUAACGGCUCACCAAGGCGACGAUGGGUAGGGGAACUGAGAGGUAGAACCACCACACUGGUACUGAGACACGGACCAGACUCCUACGGGAGGCAGCAGUGAGGAAUAUUGGUCAAUGGGCGAGAGCCUGAACCAGCCAAGUCGCGUGAAGGAUGACUGUCUUAUGGAUUGUAAACUUCUUUUAUACGGGAAUAACAAGAGCCACGUGUGGCUCCCUGCAUGUACCGUAUGAAUAAGCAUCGGCUAACUCCGUG